rnacentral:rRNA from 1 species
GGUUGAUCCUGCCAGCAAUCAUAUGCUUGUCUCAAAGAUUAAGCCAUGCAUGUCUAAGUAUAAGUAUUUAUACAGCGAAACUGCGAACGGCUCAUUAUAUCAGUUACAAUCUACUUGAUUAAGGCUUUUACUUGGAUAACUGUAGGAAUUCUAGAGCUAAUACAUGCACCAGCCCUGGACCAGGAGCAAUCCUGGGAAGGGGGCGUUUACUAGUACAGAGAUCAAUUGGGGUAUACCAAACUUGUGAGGGAAACCGAGCAGGGCUCCAUUUUUUAGAGGAACCAUAGUAAGU